GUGGGGAAUAUUGGACAAUGGGCGAAAGCCUGAUCCAGCCAUGCCGCGUGUGUGAAGAAGGUCUUCGGAUUGUAAAGCACUUUAAGUUGGGAGGAAGGGCAGUAAGUUAAUACCUUGCUGUUUUGACGUUACCGACAGAAUAAGCACCGGCUAACUUCGUGCCAGCAGCCGCGGUAAUACGAAGGGUGCAAGCGUUAAUCGGAAUUACUGGGCGUAAAGCGCGCGUAGGUGGUUCAGUAAGUUGGAAGUGAAAUCCCCGGGCUCAACCUGGGAACUGCUUUCAAAACUACUGAGCUAGAGUACGGUAGAGGGUAGUGGAAUUUCCUGUGUAGCGGUGAAAUGCGUAGAUAUAGGAAGGAACACCAGUGGCGAAGGCGACUACCUGGACUGAUACUGACACUGAGGUGCGAAAGCGUGGGGAGCAAACAGGAUUAGAAACCCCUGUAGUCC
rnacentral:rRNA from 1 species